UACGGGGGGGGCAAGCGUUGUUCGGAAUUACUGGGCGUAAAGGGCUCGUAGGCGGCCAACUAAGUCGGAUGUGAAAUCCCCAAGCUUAACUUGGGAACUGCGUCGGAUACUGGAUGGCUUGAAUCCGGGAGAGGGAUGCGGAAUUCCAGGUGUAGCGGUGAAAUGCGUAGAUAUCUGGAGGAACACCGGUGGCGAAGGCGGCAUCCUGGACCGGCAUUGACGCUGAGGAGCGAAAGCCAGGGGAGCAAACGGG
rnacentral:rRNA from 1 species